rnacentral:lncRNA from 1 species
UUUCUAUCUGUUAUCUACACGGUAGACGGUGAUUUUGUUUAAAAAAGUGUUUUAGUGCUUUUGGUUUUCAAUACCAUUCCAGCAUUUUUAUUGUUUUUGCUCCUCAUUCAUCUUUAAUCUUGGCAAUUUCUGUGUUGAUGAUGAUAAUUCAUGUACUUUCAUGGCCAGACUAAUGAUUUUGAUCCAAUGAAGAAUAACCAUGGUGAUUACGAAAUCUAUGUAAAAUUCUUUCUUUUUCAACUUAUUUCAAUUGAAACAAAGAUUUUCUGACAUGCCGUGCUUUACCGGGUACAAACGAAUAUUAUUCGACUCAGUUCUUUCUAGCAUUUUAACUCCGGUUUUAAUACUUUUGCUGCACAUGGUCUGAUCUCUUCGGUGGUAAUUUUUUCAACCAUAUCUUUGUGUCUUAUUACACCACUUGCGUUGUUAAUAGACUGAACAGGACAGUACCAUUUUUCUUCAUUGGUUCAUUACGUCUAUCAUCUACAUUCUAAUCAAUUUUGAAUUUGUUGUUAGUCCUUUACUUUUGACUGAUUCUAGUGAGAAUUUUUAUUCCUAUCAUUGAUAUCUUUAGCCCUUUACUGUCUUAUUUACUCCAAGUUUUUAAGCUCUCAAAUAUGUCAGUCUUCUCCUUGCACCAAAAGUAAUUGCAGUGCUCUUCUUCCUGGGGACAACAUAGAUACAGAAAGUGCAAGUCGGAAAUGGUCCAGUUUGACACCUGAUCCUUGUCCAUUUUUGGCAUGCUACCUUUCUGCAAAACAGCACGCUGUUAUUUCUGCAAAGCUUUAACUUUUUCCAAACAACAGUACUGUCAAUGGCUUGACUGUCAUAUCAGCUCUAAGAAUUUUGACUUCUAUAUCAUAGGUCUCAGUUUGCUGGCAUGUGGACUGUUUUUCUAUACGUACCUCAUCAUCAUUUCUGCUUGUCAUUAUCACUUGCUAUUCUCUAUAGCUGGGAUUGACAUCUAUUUUCCAGAUGAUUGCAGUGAUGUUUAUUAUGAUUUAUCGGUUGCAUUUUGUUUUGCUAGUGGCAUAUAUUCUUUACUCUUAACAUGCAUCACAGUUUAUACCCUUGUGAAGGACUUCUUAUUCCUCAUCAAGUCUGCGCCUUCCACAGCAACAGACUUACAGGUAAUCAAAUCAGGAUUUUUUUAUGUGUAUUUUUUUUACUUCCAGCCAAAGACUAACAAUGGUUGUCUGGGGCUGGCUUGAUU